AUUGAACGCUGGCGGCAGGCCUAACACAUGCAAGUCGAGCGGCGGCGGGAAAGUAGCUUGCUACUAUUGCCGGCGAGCGGCGGACGGGUGAGUAAUGCAAGGGAAAUUGCACAGUCGAGGGGGAAAACAGCUGGAAACGACUGCUAAUACCGCAUACGCCAUAAGGGUGAAAGUAGGGGACCCUAGGGACAUGCGCGAAUGGUAGUGCAUAGGUGGUAUUAGCUAGUUGGUGAGGUAAUGGCUCACCAAGGCGACGAUCCCUAGCUGGUCUGGGAGGAUGUUCAGCCACACUGGAACUGAGACACGGUCCAGACUCCCACGGGAGGCAGCAGUGGGGAAUAUUGCACAAUGGGGAAAGCCCUGAUGCAGCCAUGCCGCUUGUGUGAAGAAGGCCUUCGGGUUGUAAAGCACUUUCUGCGAGGAGGAAAGGUUGAUGCUUAAUACGUAUCAACUGUGACGUUACUCGCAGAAGAAGCACCGGCUAACUCCGUGCCAGCCGCCGCUGUAACAC
rnacentral:rRNA from 1 species